UACGAGGGGGGCAAAUGUUGUUCGGAAUCACUGGGCGUAAAGGGAGCGUAGGCGGGUUUUUAAGUCAGGUGUUUAAUCCCGGGGCUCAACCCCGGAACUGCCCCUUGAAACUGCAAUGCUAGAAUCUUGGAGAGGCGAGUGGAAUUCCGAGUGUAGAGGUGAAAUUCGUAGAUAUUCGGAAGAACACCAGUGGCGAAGGCGACUCGCUGGACAAGUAUUGACGCUGAGGUGCGAAAGCGUGGGGAGCAAACAGG
rnacentral:rRNA from 1 species